rfam:Chelonia mydas contig145375, whole genome shotgun sequence.
GAAAAGAAUUCAUUUGAAAUAAAGCUGACAGGAAUUUAUAGCCUGAUGCUGUGUUAACCCUGUCAGGUUGAUAGCCCCAAGGUGAAUUGUAUUGAAUCUCAUACAGUACAGUAUCUCAAAUGUUAAUCAGCAGCUAAUACAAUACUUCCUAAUUACAAGCAUUCUUCUUUACAGUAUGUAAUUAACUUGAAAAGUCAAAAUUACUCACAGA